ACUUGCCACGUCAGAUUUAAGAGUGAUGUGUCCUAAUUUCUCUUUGCCUUUGUUUGAAGUUCUACAGCAUAAACCCCAUUUUAUUCUCACCAUUUUACUACGUUUCUAUUCCUUCCUUCUUCUCGUGCGCCGUUUCAUUCCGGUUAGAUCGUUUCAUUUUAUUUUGUGCAUAUGGGCCUUGCGUUUCCAUGUGUACAUCUACUACCCAUCCAAUUCCCAAUUCUAAAAGACUCAUCCAUCUAUUACCCACAAGAGCUUCCCCUUCAAUUCUCUCUAUGGUGACAGUGACAACAAAUUUCUGUCUUCGUUCUAAUGGUUGUUGGGUCAGCAAAAAGGAAUGAUCUAUGAUGGACUUUCAUAAGAUCGCUAAGCUGCAAGGGUUUGAGAUCACUUCUGAUGGCCCCUUCAAUGGCAUUGUCUUUAUAAACUCCAAUUGCUUCCUCCAGUUUCUAAAUUAAACCCUUUUCCUUAUUCCUCCAUUAUCUUAUUUCCAUUUUGCAUCCUUCGAAAUCUCCACUCCAAAUUUCAUCUAACUUAUUACUGGGUACUCGAAUGUAAUUUUUUUUUUUAAAAAGAAUAGGCUUAUGAUAGUGUGAUUUUUCAAAUUUUCAGAGUCUUUUCGAUUGCUCGAUAAACCGGAAGAAAAGGGAAAACAUGUCUUAUUAUUAGGAUGAACACUUUCUUAUCAGAAUCUAUUUCUAUUUCUAUUCUCUCCAAAAGUGACCCCUACGUACUACUUCACACUCACAGGGCAUGCUUUAAUGUUCAGAUAAAGGGCCACCGUUCUUCUUGGAAUCUGGAAUGAUAGUUGUUCUUCUACUUACUUGCUAAGGAGCAGUACAGUGUGAGUUAUCUUACAUUAUGAGAUUAAUGCUCCAUUCACCUCUCAUACAGUGUGCAGGUCCUUGCACGAAGUGGGUCUACUUUGGACUCUAGACUCUAUAUUGACCUAAGUCUUGAAGAUCUGUAGAGCUAGCUCAUAUAGUGGUGUGUUUAGUCCUUUACAAUUUAGAUCUGAUACUUUUUUUGUUACUAUGUGUUAUUACAAGUCCUUUCCUAAAGUUGGUUUGCUUUUGACCCUGGACUCUGUAUUGAGCGAAGUCUAGAAAAACUAUAGAGCUCGCUAAUAUAUUAGUGUGUGUAGUCUUUAACUGUUGACAUUUCAUCCUACCGUUUUUGUUUUACUGAUUUCUAUUUCUUGCUUU